AAGUGCCUACGGGGGGCAGCAGUGAGGAAUAUUGGUCAAUGGGCGGGAGCCUGAACCAGCCAAGUCGCGUGAAGGAAGAAGGUACUUAGUAUUGUAAACUUCUUUUGUCGGGGAACAAAGGCGGAGACGCGUCUCCGGAUGAGUGUACCCGAAGAAAAGGCAUCGGCUAACUCCGUGCCAGCAGCAGCGGUAAUACGGAGGAUGCGAGCGUUAUCCGGAUUUAUUGGGUUU
rnacentral:rRNA from 1 species